CAGGCCUAACAAUGCAAGUCGGACGGUAACAGGGGGUGCUUGCACCCUGCUGACGAGUGGGCACGGGUGCGCAACGCGUAUAGAACCUACCCUGUACAGGGGGAUAGCCAUGGAAACGUGGAUUAAUACCCCGUAGAGACGAGAAGUGGCAUCGCUUUUGUUUAAAGCUUCGGCGGUACGGGAUGGCUAUGCGUGGGAUUAGUUAGUGGCGAGGUAACGGCUCACCUAGGCAAUGAUGGGUAGGGGCCCUGAGAGGGGAUCCCCCACACUGGUACUGAGACACGGACCAGACUCCUACGGGAGGCGCAGUGAGGAAUAUUGGACAAUGGGCGCAGGCCUGAUCCAGCCAUGCCGGUGCAGGAAGACAGCCCUACGGGGUUGUAAACUGGUUUUAUACGGG
rnacentral:rRNA from 1 species